UACAGAGGUGGCAAGCGUUGUUCGGAAUUACUGGGCGUAAAGGGCGCGUAGGCGGCCUUCUAAGUCAGACGUGAAAUCCCCCGGCUCAACCCGGGAACUGCGUCCGAUACUGGUUGGCUUGAAUUCGGGAGAGGGAUGCGGAAUUCCAGGUGUAGCGGUGAAAUGCGUAGAUAUCUGGAGGAACACCGGUGGCGAAGGCGGCAUCCUGGACCAAUAUUGACGCUGAGGAGCGAAAGCUAGGGGAGCAAACGGG
rnacentral:rRNA from 1 species